rnacentral:lncRNA from 1 species
UAGUAGUGUUGGAAGGUGGGUGAGAUUGUUCUCAUCUGAUAGGGAACAGACUAGUAGUGUUGGAAGGUGGGUGAGAUUGUUCUCAUCUGAUAGGGAACAGACUAGUAGUGUUGGAAGGUGGGUGAGAUUGUUCUCAUCUGAUAGGGAACAGACUAGUAGUGUGGGAAGGUGGGUGAGAUUGUUCUCAUCUGAUAGGGAACAGACUAGUAGUGUUGGAAGGUGGGUGAGAUUGUUCUGAUCUGAUAGGGAACAGACUAGUAGUGUUGGAAGGUGGGUGAGAUUGUUCUCAUCUGAUAGGGAACAGACUAGUAGUGUUGGAAGGUGGGUGAGAUUGUUCUCAUCUGAUAGGGAACAGACUAGUAGUGUGGGAAGGUGGGUGAGAUUGUUCUCAUCUGAUAGGGAACAGACUAGUAGUGUUGGAAGGAAGGUGGGUGAGAUUGUUCUCAUCUGAUAGGGAACAGACUAGUAGUGUUGGAAGGUGGGUGAGAUUGUUGGCUUCU